GCAAUUAUAAGCUAUUCCUUAAGCCACAGAAAGAAAUGAAGAAAGGAAGAGGGGAAGACAGAAAGAAAACAAUUAUCACUUGGUUUAGUGACCACGUGUGUUGAGGACAGGAAUAGAAAAAAGAAGGUACAUGUCUAAGAAGGAUUUAAAAAUGUCAAGGAAAGAACAAUGAGAUGAGAAAGAUUAAAGUCAGAGGGAGAAGCCAUGACCUUGAGCAAGGAUGCGCUUUUCAGCCAGGACACUUAACAAAGAGGGCUGACAGCUGUCAGCACUUCCAGAAGCUGGUAAAAUAAGACCUUCAUUCUUAAAGGGACAUCUUGGCAGAAUACCAAUGACUAUUCUAGUCCACUGCUUAUACCACUCAGAUACACAUCUUCAUAUACAUACUGAAAAUCAAUCUUCUAGGAUCUUAGUAGGUUUCUUUUGCUGGCAGAAUGUUGUAAGAUUAAGGUUGAUAGGAUAAACUGGUACCCUUGCAGAAACAGCUAGUUGCAAGAUCUCAAAUGAUAUUUAUCAUCUCUCUUCUUCACUAUCCACUUUAGAUUUUCCUCAUCAUCUGCUGGUCUUGGUGGCUUCCCAGUGGCAUGGUGGUGACCAUCCUGAGCUCCUGGCCACCCUGUCCUCUUCAAGCCAUAGCUGCACUUGUCCAUUUAUCAUCAAACGUAGGCA
rnacentral:lncRNA from 10 species